rnacentral:pre_miRNA from 1 species
CUUGGGGGGGUGGGUCCUCAGCCUGGAUUGUGAAAGGACGCAGGCCAGGGUGAGGGACCCCACCGGUGCACA